rnacentral:snoRNA from 1 species
AUAACCACGGUUACUAUAGUUAAUUGAAUAAAGUUGCCCAAAGAGUAAAGGAAGAAGAGAGAGCAAUUCAAUACUAACUCUGAACCAAAAUUUUUUUUUGGUGUCGAGAUAGUAUUGAAUUGCUCUCUCUUCUUCCUUUACUCUUUGGGCAACUUUAUUAAAUUAACUAUAGUAACCGUGGUUAUUCCCAUCCGUUUAUAGUUACAGUU